CAUUCGAUAAAUAAGAGUGAAAACUCCGAAUUCUUCGCCUUGUCCCAAGCUCCCAAUUUUUCAUUGCUACAAAGCCAACAGCGACAGACUAGAACCAGAUCAGAUCAUCGCACUCUUCUGCACUUCGACAUUCCGAAGAUCUUGAACGAGAUCUCCGUGCUAACAAUCUCUGUGAUUUUUUCUGGUCAGUCAAUGUUUUCUUCGUGCAUUUUGGAAGCACAACAAAGAAACAUUUUUGUAUGAUUUUGUGCCUUCUCUCCUUCCCGGUAAUGAAUUCAUUGGUUGAUUCCUUAAAUCAUGUAACGUCGAUUCUUUGAGAGGUGGGUGCAUUGUAUGUGGAUCAAUUGUUGUGUUACGCAUUACGAUCUAUCAGUGAUAGCUGCUUUCCUAGAGGCUUUGGAACAAUUAAGAAUUUUUUCAAAGGUUUUUUUUUUUUGGUUGUAUAAAUGAGAGAAGAUUGCAAAGCUAGCUGUUCCUUCUGCUAUUACAGUGGAUUUGAGGAUUUGCCACUAAAUGUUAGGCAUUUUUUGGUUUUUUUCUUUAAUCAGAUUGAGAUUCAAGAUAUGUCAAUUCUGACAUCUGGUGGUUCUGCUUGAAUUGGUGUGGUUUAUCGAGUAUUGAGAUCAAUUCAGGAGUUCUUGGUGCACUUUUUUCUGUUGCUUUGUUUUCUCAAAGCAGCCAACUGAUAAUAUUUGGGGGAAUUUAUAAUUGAUUUCAAUAGUUUUGAGGAAGGUGUUCUUGCUGUAUUCUUUCAUCUGUCUUGGUUUUAAUAUGGUGUAUAGACUGGAUGAAAAUUAGAAGACCUUAGGGUAGUUGUUAUGGGUGUGCUCGUAGAUGGCUUCAACUUAGAAUGCAAAAGGAGAUGGUAGAAAGCAAUUUAGAAACAGAAAAGUGUGCAUUUGUGGGUGAUAGUGAUAUUCAAGGUGGAAACCAGGGUCUUCGCUGGGAGCCUUCUUUCUCAGGUUGGUGUGAUGAGAAUGGGAUCAAUCAUUCAGCUCUUUCUUCAGACAAUGCUGAUCUAAGCAUAGAAGAUUCUGAUUUUGAAUUGCCUUUGCUUGAAGGGGACGGGUCAAAAGAUGGAUGUUUAGGUGUGGAAAGAUAGAAAUUUAGUAAGUCUAAGCUGAGAAGUAUGCAUAUCAAUGGAGGUCAUUCCUUGGAUAACACAUCUUACCAUAUUGAAGGGAAUGGAAAUGAGAGAAACAAUGUUCCAUUUGAUGUUGAAAAUGGCUCUGGGAGCCAACCGCAUGGCUCUGCUUCACAAGGAACACAUAAAACAGUAUCAGAUACUCAAAGCCCUAUUUCUGUAGUUGUUGUUCUUAAGACAUUAUUUUUCAUAGUCGUAUGGUACAGCUUCAGUACUUGUUUGACUUUAUAUAACAAAACACUUUUAGGAGAUGAUUUGGGAAAGUUUCCUGCUCCAAUGUUGAUGAACACUGUCCACUUUGGAAUGCAAGCUGUUCUGUCUAAUGCAAUUACAUGGUUUUGGGCCAAAAGAUUUCGACCCAGAGUAGCCAUGUCAUGGAGGGAUUACUUUAUGUGAGGGAGAAUGUACUCCAGUUGCGCUUGCACCAGGUGGCGGACCUUGUCUGGGAGAACACUUUAACUGCUAUCUUGGUCAGAUUGGUCUGCCUCAUUUGAGAUUCAGCGAGGAAGAAAAAAAAUCUUCUUGUUACCACAAAAGAUAAUGGUUUCAAGAUACCUGGAAGUGCUAAUAGUCUCAGAUGCUUGAGAUUGGAAACCAGUCCUUAGAAGCACUAAGAGCAGCAACUAAUAACAUGCUCCAGGUUGCACAUCUUUAGACAAAUUCUGGUGUUGCAAUUUUAGCUCUUGGGUCAAAUGGGAUUAAAAAACUUUGGAAGUGGGGCCGCAGGGAACAAAAUCUAAGUGGCAAAGAUCAGUGUACUUAUAUCUUGCCUCCCCACCCUUAAUUGCAGUUUCAUGAUGGCUAAAAUGACAUUUUCAUAUAUCACGAACAACCUUUAUGUGCCGGUAGGAUGAAAGUUUUAUUUAAUAUAUUAUUGUAGAUACAUCUCAAUCUGUCUCCGAUGUUUCUUUUACUACUGGACCUUGAGCUAAAUCACAAUUGCAUUAACUUCUAUUAGGAGGUUAGGUGAAAUAUGUUAUUCAAAUUUCACAAGGUAGACUGUCAUUUUCAUACUUUUGCUUCAAAUUCUUAAAAAGUUAAAUGUAGGUUUCCUAAUUCGCAUGCACAAAAGUUCCGUUGAUGUGCUGUAUUGUGUGGAAUGGUUAGAUUUGACAUUCUUUUACUGUGAAAUAUUUGUAUAGUUUUAUGCAUUUAAAGCAGAAUAUCUUCACAUGGAGAUGCAUUCUAACAUAUAUCAUUUAUUUACUGAAUAAAUUAUCGGUUAAUGUGUAUUUGUCUCACAGACUCACAGUUAUUGACAGUUUGACACUCAGUUUGUCCCAGCAAAGUGCGUCACUUACAGUUGGGCUUCUUAGAUCUUUUGUACACUAGAAUCACAAUGAGAUCUUUAUCUUUUCUCUUUCAUUUUCCUUUAUGGUUUUUUUUUUUCUCAUGAAACUUUUUUUCAAGCAUAUUUAUUUAUUUUUUAUUUGCAUAUGUACAGGAAUACAUGUCUGGAAGAGGGUGGAGAUUGAAUGCCAACAACAUUUUGAGACUGUGACAUCACUGUUUGUGCCCGAAGUUCUAUAACUGAAAUAGGGUCUGAGUAUAGGUAAUAUUCUCACUCCAGUUAUACUAAAUGCAUUUUUUUGCAUGCAUGUAUUGUCAAAUAAGAGUCACCAAGAUGGAAAUGUGAACACUGGCGGGAAUAGUUUUAUUUCUAAUUUCCACUCCAACACUAUUAGAGGCAUUAAUUUGCUUCUGCCUUUAAUGGAGUGAAUCAUAGUACAUUUAAAAGAGAAUCUAUGAAGGCCCAAAUCCAUGUUCAAUCAAGAAAUUCUAUAACAACAAUGUAGUGUGCCUUCCCUGUAUCAGCCUUUUUAAGAUUUCCCCUUCUGACAGGGCACAGUUCUAAUGAAGUAGGUGAAUUUUAACAUAAGUUCACAAGUACCGUACAUGCAUUUGCAAGGUUUUCAUCUUUGCAUAGUUCUUCUAAACCUUGGUCGCUGAAUUUUGAUACCUGAGAUCCUAGUGAUACUAAUAUUAGAUGUGACUUAUCGCUGAGUUUAGAUAACUGAGUUCAUAGUGAUACUAAUAUUAGAUGUGACUGAUAAGUUUCUAUAUGAAAAAUACCUCAUAACCUUAUAGAGGGGGGUGGGCCUCAUUGCAAUGGUAAGGUUGUUCCAUUGCGACCUAAAGCUGCAUACAUUAUGAUCUAAGAUCCCAUAGUGGUGGGAGCCUCGUGCAUUGGAUACACACUUUUUAUGAGGAAUACCUCAUAUAGAUCUAUAUUUCUCAACAAACAUGAAUGGUGGCGGCUAAUAACUACUAUGCUGUUUUCCUAAUUAGCGCUUCAUACCUCAAAGAAUUCAAUGGAUCUAGUUAUGCUUGCUUAUGUCAAUUCAUUAUAAUAUUUUGAUGAGCACUCGGGAUGCCAUAAUGGAUCAAGUUAUGCUUGCUUAUGUCAAUUUAGAAUGCCAUAAUUCCUACUUUGUUGUCUCUCUCUCUCUCUCUCUCUCUCACACGAUGAUUAUUCCAAUUCUUUAGUUUUUGUCAUUGUAGAAGCUUGCGAAUAUGGAGUUCUCUCUUUUCUCUUUUAUUAUGUACUCCAUAUGUAUUUUGAAUGUAAGAUUCAAAUAUGUAUUUAGUUUUCUCAUGUUGGUCCUUUUUAUAUUGAUUGCCUUGUAUACAAAUUGCUGAAAAUUGGAAGGUCUAUUGGCAUUUAGACUGUAGAUAGAUGAUGUGAGCAGCAAGAGAGAUCAAGGUAGGGAGAGAAUCGUGGGGGGUAGAGAGAUUUGGGAUAAAGAGGGGUAGAUUAAGUAAGUUAGGGCAAAGAGAAAAUCGGUGGUGUACAGAGAUACAAUGACAUAACACUCCAGAAGCCCCCUCCACUCAUCCUCUAUUUCACCUUCUUUACUUUUAGUUGACCCUAGAUAUCUAAAAUAGUCACCUGUAUGGAAUAUCUGUCUCUUUGAUUUUCAUCAUUUCAUUAUCUAUCGUAGAGUGACUGAAAUUACACCUCAUAUACUCCAUCUUUGAUCUACUAAUCUUUAAACCUCUUGUUUCCAAGGUAGAUCUCCAUAAUUCUAACUUAGUGUUGAUCCCUGCUUUAGUCUCAUCCACUAAAACCAUAUCAUUGGCAAAGUGCAUACACCAGGGGACUUCAUCCAGAAUGCUUUUGGAUAGCUCAUCCAUGAUAAGGGCAAAUAGAUAGGAGCUUAAGGUUGAUCCUUGAUGUUGUCUAAUCGUAAUUGGGAAUUCUAUGCCUUGACCUCCUACAGAUCUCAUGCUAGUCACCACACCCUCAUACAUGUCCUUAAUUAUCUCCAAAUACGUACUCGACACCUCUUUCUUUACUAAUACAUACCAUAUUAGAUCUCUAGGAACUCUCUCAUAUGCUUUUUCUAGGUCAAUAAAGGCCAUGUGGAGAACUUUCUUGUAGGCUCUAUAACUUUCCAUUGGCCUCUGUCGUGGAUUUACUUGGCAUAAAUCCAAAUUGGUUCUCUGAGAUCUUAUUUGAAGUGUGUUUCUAUCUAGGAUAAAUGCAGAUUGGUUGUCACUAAGUCAAUCACCAACUUCAGCCUAUUAGCAAGGAUUUUCCUGAUGAACUUAUGAAGUAGAUGGCAAAGGGAGCACCUUCUUUCUUAGAAAUAAAGUGAAAUGUGAUCAACCUUCUAUCUGACUGAGAUUGUAGAAAAAACUAAGCAAGUCUUUGAUGAGGUUGCCUUUGAUGAUGCUCUAGGUUGAGGAGAAGAAACCUAUAUUGAAGCCAUAUCGACCAAAGGCUCUACUAGCAUUAUGAGAGAGUGGAUGGUAGCGAGAAUCUCUUCCUUAGAGGAGAGAGCCUGAAGGGAUCCAUGAAAGGAUUGGGGGAGGAAAUUGUUGGGGAGGCACUUAGGGUUAGCUUCAAAAGAGGGGAGGGGAGAAGGUCUGAAUAUUUUCACAAAUUAGUCCACAAUUUCUCUCUUGAUAUCUUCCGCCCUUAAAAAGGGGGAGUUGUCUCUAGCAAGGAGAAUGGAAAUGGAGUUGACAUUGGUUCAUGUUCUUAUGGGUUAUGGAAAUAACUAGCGUUGGAAUCUCUAGCUUGAGCCAUUUGACUCUACCCUCAUAUUUUAGAUCUCAUACGCAAGAGGCUCCAACUCUGGAAGGGCAAGUUUCUUUCUUAUGCCAAUCACCUAGAAUUGAUCAGAUUUGUCCUUCAAUCUUGCUACUUCUAUUGGUUUGGUAUUUUUAAGUUGCCUCAGACCACUUGAAUCCCUUAUGUGUGCCUUUCUCUAGAAAGGAUCUGAAGCUUCUAAAUUCUCCACCCUAUCAGUUAGGCUUCUAUUUGUCUUCCCAAAGAUGAGGGUGGGUGUCUUGGUUUGAGAAAAAAUAUAGAGGUAUAGCAUUCUCAAAUUGAUCUGAAAGCUUAUGGCUAAGAAGAAAAUUUUUGAUUUCCUUUAACCACUAUUAAUUGUGUUAAGCUUUGCACCAUCUACUCGUGACAUACUAGAGGAACUAAAAAAUUUAAAAUCCAUUUUCUUUUAAUGAAAAUUUAUUCUGCUGGAUAGAAGAGCCAAAGAAAGAGGAGGUUGAUGUUAUUUCCCCCAAGCCCCCCCCAGAAAAAAAAAUAAAAUAAAAAAUCUUCUCUAAUCGUAUAAGAGAAAAGAGAAACCUUCAAAAUCCCUAAAGUUCUUACUAGUCCAUGUAUUAUUAAUUGAUUGUAGCCUUUGCAGAAGCUCAGGGUUCUCCUAUAUAUUAUUUACUUUGGUGAAUGUUUUCCUAUAUGAUAUUAGCUAGGUUACAAUUAGCAAACUUCACAUUCUAGUAGGGUAAUGGGUUUACAAGUGUAGUUAGAUUGACUGAUCGAACACUUUUUUGGACUAAUAAAAUAAUUCAUUACAAUGAUUUGGGGGAGGGUGGGAGGGAACAAGCAAAAUGCAAGUCCUUACCUUUACAAAGGGGGAGGCAAGGGCUAGCCAAAAUGAAGGGGACAACCCCCAAUCGAAAACAACACACUAAAAAAAGAAGGAAAAGAGUGACCACAACAUGGAAACCAGGUCCAACCUAAAAGAAAGCAUACAACCCAGGGGAGGAGGAACCUCAAAGCAAAAGGCCACCAAAUCAUCACUAGAUGUCUCAAUAGAGAACAUGAUUACAAAUUUCCAUACUUUGGAGGAAAAAGUUCUCAUUACUGGGCAAGGAAUAGACUUCAUAAGGCAUCUUCUUGGGGUAUUGAAGGGAGCUAUUGUCACACCAACAAUAGACACGAAUAGGAACCACGAGGGGCUAAAGUGGGAACAUGGGAGGAUGGAGGGUUAGGAUGGGAUUAGGGGUGAGGGAAUAAAGGGUAGAGGAAUGGGAGGGUCCCCAUUGGGACCCAGGAGGUUGGAUUUGAAGAGGUUAGUGAGAUUGGGGGUAGGCCAAGUGGGCAAACGGAGAGGGUUCGAUGUGGAGAUGGGCCAGGCUAAGUGCGAGUUGGGGUGGGGCGAAGGGUUGGGGUUAGACAACUCAUGGGAAUAGUGUCUUUAUUGAUGGUGAGCUGAGGUGCUUGGUUGAACCAGUUUCAAACAUGAAGCAAAAUACUGUUGGGUACUCAGUUAGACGAACCCUUCAUUUAGGUCAAAGUGUUCCUUGUAGAGCACACAAUAGUUCUCUAAUAUUUAUUUUACCUCUAUUGGGUGGGAGGCUUGGGGAGGUGGUUUGGUCCUCCAAAUAUCAGCAGAAAAUUUUCACUAGUUGGGAAGAUAUGGGUCAAUGAGUUUUACCCAGAAAUUCUCCUCCAGUCAGUGUCUGUCGCAGGAUAUGACCAGAACAACACCAGUAGUAGAUCUUGGUAGUUAGUAAAGAUCCUUCUGAUAUGCUCUGAAAUAGAUCAAUCAACCUACAGAAAAUUAAAGAAAUAAAAGGGGAAAACAGAAACUUAUGGAAGGAUGAGAAGGGCAAAAGAAGAAUGAUGUGGAUUCACCAUCUCCUUGGGCCUCUCAAUCCUCAACCAUUUUUGGGCAUCCCACCCCUCAGUCAACCCUCUCAACCACAAAAGAAACUAUUCAAUUUUCAUUCUUCAAAAUUUGAGCCAAAAGGCAACAAUUACUUCUCUUAAUGGAAAGAAAUAAUAUAAGAAACUAUUACAAAAAGGAAACUAGUAGGGAAAACAGAAAUUGAUCCUAUUUAAAAUCUUUCCUAUUUGAAAACUAGUUUCUUGCUAAGGGAAUAAAAUCCUACUUGUAGUGGCUUUCUGAUUUUCUUCCUCCAAAUGUAUCCUUGCUGAUCAAGCUUCACAAUAAGAUAAAAUAACAGCCCAAUGCUGAGAUUGGUAGCAAGGAUUUUAAAUCUUUUAGAGUUUUUCUUGGCCCUCCUUAAUUCUUCUAGUCAAGCCAUCUACAUCAAUGAUCCAAGGGUUGGAUCAAUGGCUGUAAUAGGUGGAAUAAAAUAGAAAGUUUGGAAACAAAUUUAGCAAUAUCCAAAAACUAAAAAUCUAUUGAGCCAAUCAAUACCAAGGAUGUCGGACCUAGUCAAUGGAGAUGGACGUCCAAAUAUCUUAGCCAACUAAGGGCUGAAUAUAAAGAUAUGGGCUAGACCAGAAAAUAGAAAGUAGUUUCUUAGAAAAAAAGGCUUACUAUUACUAAGAAUGGAUAAAGCCUUAAUUCAGAUCGAAAGAAGGCCCUCGAAUGUAGGUCAAUGCUUCAAAAGAUCAUAAGGAUCUGAUGUUCCAAUCAAGAGAUAAAGAACAGACGAAUUCAAAAGGAAAAUACAGCCAAUAGAUUGUAAGCACAUUAGUUCCUUCCACAACAACACAACAAACUAUGGUCAUAGCUACAAGUGGACAACCUCAAUAUGCCUAAAGUUGCUGAGAACUUGAAAUAGAAACAAGAGAAAAAGAUGGGGAUAUAACCAAGCUAGGGGUGUCAAUCGGUCGGGUCGAGCUAGUCUCGGUUGGGCCUAACCGGGCCUGGUGGUGUGAAAUCCUUGCAUUGUGAACGCUCGUUUACUUAAACGGGCUUGGGUUUGGGGGCCAUGGUUUGGUUUGUAAUCGGGCCGAUCGGUGUUGGGCUUUAAUCGGACUAUGUACCUAUUUAAUUCUAAACGGGCUUUAAAUGUGUCUACCCUAAAAUCAUUUUUUAAGCGGAUUAAACUAUUGGCUUUAAAAUUAAUGGAGGAUAACAUUCACAAUUUUGGAACCAUAUCUAAGGGAAUCAUGUUAUUAAAAUGUAAUCUAUGUUAUAAGAAUUACACACUUUUUAACAAUUGAAUGAUCCAAGAACAUUACAAAUCUGUAAUUGGAUUUUUGAUUCACUAGUAUACAUAAUACAAUGAAAGAAAAAGCCUACUUUGGGCAGCUGUCUUUCCCUUCAAUCAAACAAUGGCUUCUUUGAUUUUAUCAGAACCAGAGAGUCUGAGACAGUAAAAAAAAAAAGAAAUAUCUUAUAUCAAAACCAGCAAUGGCUUCUUUGAUUUUGUCAGAACCAAAGAGAGUCUAAGACAGUAAAAAAAAGAAAAAGAAAAAUAAGAAAUACCUUAUAUCAGAACUAGAAUGACUUCUUUGAUUUUAUCAGAACCAAAGAGAGUCUGAGAUAGUAAAAAAAAAGAAA